UACGUAGGGCGCAAGCGUUGUCCGGAAUUAUUGGGCGUAAAGAGCUCGUAGGCGGUUUGUCGCGUCUGUCGUGAAAGCUUGGGGCUUAACCCCAAGUCUGCGGUGGAUACGGGCAGACUAGAGGCAGGUAGGGGAGAACGGAAUUCCCGGUGUAGCGGUGAAAUGCGCAGAUAUCGGGAGGAACACCGGUGGCGAAGGCGGUUCUCUGGGCCUGUACUGACGGCUGAGGAGCGAAAGCGUGGGGAGCGAACAGG
rnacentral:rRNA from 1 species